UACGUAGGAGGCAAGCGUUGUCCGGAAUUACUGGGCGUAAAGCGCGCGUAGGCGGGUUGGUAAGUCCGCUGUGAAAGCCCGGAGCUUAACUCCGGAGGGUCGGUGGAUACUGCCAGUCUUGAAGGUGCUAGGGGGAGAUGGAAUUACCGGUGUAGCGGUGAAAUGCGUAGAUAUCGGUAGGAGCACCAGUGGCGAAGGCGGUCUCCUGGGGCAUUCUUGACGCUGAGGCGCGAAAGCUGGGGGAGCAAACGGG
rnacentral:rRNA from 1 species